GAUGAACGCUGGCGGCGUGCCUAACACAUGCAAGUCGAGCGAAGAUUCUUGGAGUACUUGUACAAAGGGGAUCUUAGCGGCGGACGGGUGAGUAACACGUGAGCAAUCUGCCUUUUACUGGGGAAUAACACUGGGAAACCAGUGCUAAUACCGCAUGACGUCACCGGGUGGCAUCGCCUGGUGACCAAAGGAGCAAUCCGGUAAAAGAUGAGCUCGCGUCCGAUUAGGUAGUUGGUGAGGUAAUGGCUCACCAAGCCUACGAUCGGUAGCCGGACUGAGAGGUUGGACGGCCACAUUGGGACUGAGACACGGCCCAGGCUCCUACGGGAGGCAGCAGUGGGGAAUAUUGGGCAAUGGGGGAAGCCCUGACCCAGCAACGCCGCGUGAAGGAUGAAGGCUUUCGGGUUGUAAACUCCUGUCAGUGGGGACGAAUGCUUCGAAAGAAGUUUGACUGUACCCGCUGAGGAAGCCAUGGCUAACUCCGUGCCAGCCGCCGCCGUAAUAC
rnacentral:rRNA from 1 species